UCACUUUGUGGCACUGAACAAGGGGUGAGUACUUUUCGUAUUCAUAAUAUCACAUUUAGGCAAAUUCAUGUUGGAAAGUUAUGGAAUAUGAAUAAAAAAGCCUUUUAUGAUUGUGUCUUGUAAACAUGGCUCCUAGAUGGAAGAAUACAGAAACAAAGAAAUAAAGUGAGGACUUGAGAUUGGAAGAUUAUAAAUCAAAUAGUUGAUUUCAUCUUGGCUAAUUUAUUACCAUCUUUUAAAAAAUGUUUAAAUUUCCCUAAAAUGGAAGUUAAAACUAACUUUUUUUUCCCUUGCAUAUCAUUUCUGUGGGAAUUAGCAUUUGGAUAUGUAAUUGAUAUCAUUUGGGGGCCGGUUUGCUGUUAUGACCAGUUUCAACAAUUUUGUAUUAACUGUG
rnacentral:misc_RNA from 1 species